rnacentral:rRNA from 1 species
AGCAGCCGCGGUAAUUCCAGCUCCAAUAGCGUAUAUUAAAGUUGUUGCAGUUAAAAAGCUCGUAGUUGAAUUUCGGGGUCAGUAGGUCGGUCGUGCCACUGGUAUGAACUGGUUUUACUGAUUCCUCCCUCUUGAAGAACUGUAAUGCCAUUAAUUUGGUGUUGCAGGGAAUCAGGACUGUUACUUUGAAAAAAUUAGAGUGUUUAAAGCAGGCUUUAGCUUGAAUACAUUAGCAUGGAAUAAUGAAAUAGGACGUUUGAUCCUAUUUUGUUGGUUUCUAGGAUUGACGUAAUGAUUAAUAGGGAUAGUUGGGGGCAUUAGUAUUCAAUUGUCAGAGGUGAAAUUCUUGGAUUUAUUGAAGACUAACUACUGCGAAAGCAUUUGCCAAGGAUGUUUUCAUUAAUCAAGAACGAAAGUUAGGGGAUCGAAGACGAUCAGAUACCGUCGUAGUCUUAACCAUAAACUAUGCCGACUAGGGAUCGGAUGAUGUUAAUUUAAUGACUCA